CAGCAGCCGCGGUAAUACAGAGGGUGCGAGCGUUAAUCGGAUUUACUGGGCGUAAAGCGUGCGUAGGCGGCUUUUUAAGUCGGAUGUGAAAUCCCCGAGCUUAACUUGGGAAUUGCAUUCGAUACUGGGAAGCUAGAGUAUGGGAGAGGAUGGUAGAAUUCCAGGUGUAGCGGUGAAAUGCGUAGAGAUCUGGAGGAAUACCGAUGGCGAAGGCAGCCAUCUGGCCUAAUACUGACGCUGAGGUACGAAAGCAUGGGGAGCAAACAGGAUUAGAUACCCCAGUAGUCCCUGUCUCUUAUAC
rnacentral:rRNA from 1 species